GGCUAACUCAGUAGAGCAUGAGACUCUUAAUCUCAGAGUCGUGGGUUCGUGCCCCAC
rnacentral:tRNA from 1 species